CAAAAAGCAAAAGUUACAAAAAGGGUCAUAAUCACUUGAGAUCGUCCAUCAGAAGUGUUAACAUAGAUCUCUAUGCCGAUGAGGAUUUGGGCAACACACCUAUGAACGAAGAAGUGAAGGAGGAGAUUGUAGUUUACCUAUUCCAGUGAAGGGCAAGAUAGAGACUUUAAAUCAAGCAUUAGAUAUCUUUGGGAUGAAUGUGAUUGUGGAAGCAAGUUUUUUGUUAUGACCAAGCAAAAAUAACAUCACAUAUCAAGGAUCGUGAUCUUCGAUCCAGAAAUUUUGCCAACCAGUUAGAAGCGGCUACCUUGGAACAAAUAGUUCUAAUUCCGUAUAAUACUGGGUAAAUAAAUAAGAUUAACACAUUAUUAUGUUUUUCAUUGAGGUUAAAUGUAUACUCACAUUGAAGAUGUUUAUUGUAGUUUUCAUUGGAUGUUGCAUGUCAUCGAUCUUCGAGAGAACUGUGUUUAUGUUUUGGACUCUCUUCAAAGUAAAGUUAACGAAGACAUCCAUGGAGUCAUAAAUGUGACUUAUGAUUUACUUCUUAUUUGACUUCAUUGUCUUCUAAUUCUAAUGUUUCCAAAUGUAUAGAGGAUUAAAAACAUGGCAAGCUAAGCAUGAUUUACAACAUUAUCGGUCAAAUCCGAAAUGGAAACCUAUAAAGUGUCCUCGUCAAUUG